rnacentral:rRNA from 1 species
UACAGAGGGGGCAAGCGUUAUUCGGAAUUAUUGGGCGUAAAGGGCGCGUAGGCGGCUUUUCAAGUGACGGGUGAAAUCCCUCGGCUUAACCGAGGAACUGCCUGUCAGACUGGAAGGCUUGAGACCGGGAGAGGUGAGUGGAAUUCCCAGUGUAGCGGUGAAAUGCGUAGAUAUUGGGAGGAACACCGGUGGCGAAGGCGGCUUCCUGGACCGACACUGACGCUGAGGCGCGAAAGCUAGGGGAGCAAACGGG